rfam:Schistosoma rodhaini strain Burundi genome assembly, scaffold: SROB_scaffold0001739
AUCCAGCUCAUGACUCCCAAACAGGACGAAACGCGAGUCCUGGAU